GACGUAGGGCGCGAGCGUUGUCCGGAUUUAUUGGGCGUAAAGAGCUCGUAGGCGGCUUGUCGCGUCGACUGUGAAAACCCGCGGCUUAACUGCGGGACUGCAGUCGAUACGGGCAGGCUAGAGUUCGGCAGGGGAGACUGGAAUUCCUGGUGUAGCGGUGAAAUGCGCAGAUAUCAGGAGGAACACCGGUGGCGAAGGCGGGUCUCUGGGCCGACACUGACGCUGAGGAGCGAAAGCGUGGGGAGCAAACGGG
rnacentral:rRNA from 1 species